GGACGGAGAAGGCUAAGCUGGCCGGAUAUUGGUUACCGGUUUAAACGUUCGAGGUGUUGAGAAACGGAGAAAACGUUUUGAGCUAAGACGUGAAUACGAGAUGCUACGGCAUUGAAGCAGUGUAUGUCAGACUUCCAAGAAAAGCUCGCAAUGUCUUAAAUAAAUAAUGCCUGUACCAUAACCGACACAGGUGGGUAGGUAGAGUAUACUAAGGGGCGCGAGAUAACUCUCUCUAAGGAACUCGGCAAAAUGACUCCGUAACUUCGGGAGAAGGAGUGCCUUAUUUAUAAGGUUGCAAUAACAAGAUCCAAGCAACUGUUUACCAAAAACACAGGUCUCCGCUAAGUCGUAAGACGAUGUAUGGGGGCUGACGCCUGCCCAGUGCCAGAAGGUUAAAGAAGUUGGUUAGCAUUCGCGAAGCUGAUAACUGAAGCCCUGGUGAACGGCGGCCGUAACGAUAACGGUCCUAAGGUAGCGAAAUUCCUUGUCGGGUAAGUUCCGACCCGCACGAAAGGCGUAAUGAUUUGGAUACUGUCUCGGAGAGGGGCUCGGUGAAAUAGACUUGUCUGUGAAGAUGCGGACUACCUGCACCUGGACAGAAAGACCCUAUGAAGCUUUACUGUAACUUGAAAUUGAAAUUGGACUUUAUUUGCGCAGUAUAGGUGGGAGGCGUUGAGUUAAUUCUUGCGGGAAUUUAGGAGCCAUCAGUGAGAUACCACUCUGGUAAUGUUAGAUUUCUAACUUUGUAUCAUAAUCUGGUCAAAGAACAGUUUCAGGCGGGCAGUUUGACUGGGGCGGUCGCCUCCCAAAUGGUAACGGAGGCGUACAAAGGUUUCCUCUGAACGUGUAGAAAUCGUAUCUAGAGUGUAAAGGCAUAAGGAAGCUUGACUGUGAGACUUACAAGUCGAGCAGGGACGAAAGUCGGUCUUAGUGAUCUGACGGUGCUGAGUGGAAAGGCCGUCACUCAACGGAUAAAAGUUACUCUAGGGAUAACAGGCUGAUCUCCCCCAAGAGUUCACAUCGACGGGGAGGUUUGGCACCUCGAUGUCGGCUCAUCGCAUCCUGGGGCGGUAGUACGUCCCAAGGGUUGGGCUGUUCGCCCAUGAAAGCGGUACGCGAGCUGGGUUCAGAACGUCGUGAGACAGUUCGGUCCAUAUCCGGUGUAGGCGUUAGAAUAUUGAGAGGAGCCUUCUUUAGUACGAGAGGACCGAGAAGGACAUACCUCUGGUGUACCAGUUAUCAUGCCAAUGGUAAACGCUGGGUAGCUAUGUAUGGAGAGGAUAACCGCUGAAAGCAUCUAAGUGGGAAGCCCACCUCAAGAU
rnacentral:rRNA from 1 species